UAUAUACAUCUAUAUAAAUGUAGAAUCUGAUCGGUGUGAUUCAACAUAAAAUUCAUUUAUUUAUUUGGCAUACUGAGUACUUUGUCCAACAUAAUGUGUACUGUUGUCAUUUUUGUACUGUACUUCAUCUCUCUUUCCUAUGCAGACGAGGGCCAAUGUAUUAACAAUUUAACUGGAAAGAUUGAGUGCUGUGCAGAUUAUUAUAUAACAGAGUCAGACUCAUGCAAACCUUGCGUUGGAUACUUUGGAAAAAACUGUUCUACACCUUGUUAUUUUGGAUAUUAUGGUCAUGGCUGCCGCAAUACGUGUAAUUGCAGUAGUGAUACACAUUUGUGUGACUCCAGGUCAGGGUGUAUUAAAAGAUAUUUUAACCAAACAUGUAAGUAACUAUAUGGUCAAAU